rnacentral:rRNA from 1 species
GAUGAACGCUGGCGGCGUGCCUAAUACAUGCAAGUCGAGCGAACAGACGAGGAGCUUGCUCCUCUGACGUUAGCGGCGGACGGGUGAGUAACACGUGGAUAACCUACCUAUAAGACUGGGAUAACUUCGGGAAACCGGAGCUAAUACCGGAUAAUAUAUUGAACCGCAUGGUUCAAUAGUGAAAGACGGUUUUGCUGUCACUUAUAGAUGGAUCCGCGCCGCAUUAGCUAGUUGGUAAGGUAACGGCUUACCAAGGCAACGAGGCGUAGCCGACCUGAGAGGGUGGUCGGCCACACUGGAACGGAGACACGGUCCAGACUCCUACGGGAGGCAGCAGUAGGGAAUCUUCCGCAAUGGGCGAAAGCCUGACGGAGCAACGCCGCGUGAGUGAUGAAGGUCUUCGGAUCGUAAAACUCUGUUAUUAGGGAAGAACAAAUGUGUAAGUAACUAUGCACGUCUUGACGGUACCUAAUCAGAAAGCCACGGCUAACUACGUG